rnacentral:rRNA from 1 species
AGAGUUUGAUCAUGGCUCAGAUUGAACGCUGGCGGCAGGCCUAACACAUGCAAGUCGAGCGGAAACGAAGAGGUGCUUGCACCUCUGGCGUCGAGCGGCGGACGGGUGAGUAAUGCUUGGGAAUAUGCCUUAUGGUGGGGGACAACAGUUGGAAACGACUGCUAAUACCGCAUGAUGUCUACGGACCAAAGUGGGGGACCUUCGGGCCUCACGCCAUAAGAUUAGCCCAAGUGGGAUUAGCUAGUUGGUGAGGUAAUGGCUCACCAAGGCGACGAUCCCUAGCUGGUUUGAGAGGAUGAUCAGCCACACUGGGACUGAGACACGGCCCAGACUCCUACGGGAGGCAGCAGUGGGGAAUAUUGCACAAUGGGCGCAAGCCUGAUGCAGCCAUGCCGCGUGUGUGAAGAAGGCCUUCGGGUUGUAAAGCACUUUCAGUAAGGAGGAAAGGUUAAGUGUUAAUAGCACUUAGCUGUGACGUUACUUACAGAAGAAGCACCGGCUAACUCCGUGC